GCUUACGGCCACACCACCCUGAACACGCCCGAUCUCGUCCGAUCUCGGAAGCUAAGCAGGGCGGGCCUGGUUAGUACUUGGAUGGGAGACCGCCUGGGAAUACCAGGUGCUGUAAGUU
rnacentral:rRNA from 1 species